rnacentral:rRNA from 1 species
GUUGGGUUAAGUCCCGCAACGAGCGCAACCCUCGUCGUAUGUUGCCAGCAAGUAAUGUUGGGGACUCAUACGAGACUGCCGGGGUCAACUCGGAGGAAGGUGGGGAUGACGUCAAGUCAUCAUGCCCCUUAUGUCUAGGGCUGCACGCAUGCUACAAUGGCUGGUACAAAGGGCUGCAAUACCGCGAGGUGGAGCGAAUCCCAAAAAGCCAGUCUCAGUUCGGAUUGGGGUCUGCAACUCGACCCCAUGAAGUCGGAGUCGCUAGUAAUCGCAGAUCAGCAACGCUGCGGUGAAUACGUUCCCGGGCCUUGUACACAC